GAACAGCCUACGUCGAAUAGGUUGCAGGACGGACGCCUGGAAAGCAGGGAUCAAAAGGUCAAAAAUAUUUCCCUGCGCUCUAGGGACUCGUCCUCCGAGUAUGUGGCAGUGGGGACCCUAGGCUACCAGGAUGCGAAGUUUGGGGCCCCUCGGACCCCCCGGGGGCCAAACAGCAGACGAUGCCUCCGUUUGGCCCAAAAUUGACACCCACGCAUCGUCAGGCUCCCCUGGGGCCGUGACUGGAGCCUCGUGUCCCUUCGACCCGUUUUCGUGCUUAAUUGGCCCAAGUGUCAACGAACAGCCUACGUCGAAUAGGUUGCAGGACGGACGCCUGGAAAGCAGGGAUCAAAAGGUCAAAAAUAUUUCCCUGCGCUCUAGGGACUCGUCCUCCGAGUAUGUGGCAGUGGGGACCCUAGGCUACCAGGAUGCGAAGUUUGGGGCCCCUCGGACCCCCCGGGGGCCAAACAGCAGACGAUGCCUCCGUUUGGCCCAAAAUUGACACCCACGCAUCGUCAGGCUCCCCUGGGGCCGUGACUGGAGCCUCGUGUCCCUUCGACCCGUUUUCGUGCUUAAUUGGCCCAAGUGUCAACGAACAGCCUACGUCGAAUAGGUUGCAGGACGGACGUCUGGAAAGCAGGGGUCAAAAGGUCGCAGCUGCUCCAAAUUUGACACGGUGGUAGUCCAGGGGCCGCUGGGUCAGGAUCCAGGGUUUCGGGGUCCUAGGUGGGCCCCCAGUCUGUUUCCUAACCCUACCCUGUAUUUUCACUGGGCCCUUUGGAGAGGCUCUUUCUGUCUAUGAGUGGAAGAGGCCUUUGUGAGAGAUUUUGAAAAAAGAAGGUCAAAAAUAUUUCCCUGCGCUCUAGGGACUCGUCCUCCUAGUAUGUGGCAGUGGGGACCCUAGGCUACCAGGAUGCAAAGUUUGGGG